rnacentral:rRNA from 1 species
AUUGAACGCUGGCGGCAUGCCUUACACAUGCAAGUCGAACGGCAGCACGGGUGCUUGCACCUGGUGGCGAGUGGCGAACGGGUGAGUAAUACAUCGGAACGUACCGUAUCGGGGGGGAUAACGCAGUGAAAGCUGUGCUAAUACCGCAUACGCUCUGAGGGGGAAAGCGGGGGAUCGAAAGACCUCGCGCGAUUAGAGCGGCCGAUGCCUGAUUAGCUUGUUGGUGGGGUAAAAGCCCACCAAGGCGACGAUCAGUAGCUGGUCUGAGAGGACGAUCAGCCACACUGGGACUGGGACACGGCCCAGACUCCUACGGGAGGCAGCAGUGGGGAAUUUUGGACAAUGGGGGCAACCCUGAUCCAGCAAUGCCGCGUGAGUGAAGAAGGCCUUCGGGUUGUAAAGCUCUUUUGUCAGGGAAGAAACACCGGCUCUAACACAGUCCGGGAAUGACGGUACCUGAAGAAUAAGCACCGGCUAACUACGUGCCAGCAGCCGCCGUAA